AGAGUUUGAUCCUGGCUCAGGACGAACGCUGGCGGCGCGCCUAACACAUGCAAGUCGAACGGAGCUUAGAGAGCUUGCUUUUUAAGCUUAGUGGCGAACGGGUGAGUAACGCGUGAGUAACCUGCCCUAGAGUGGGGGACAACAGUUGGAAACGACUGCUAAUACCGCAUAAGCCCACGGUGCCGCAUGACACUGAGGGAAAAGGAUUUAUUCGCUUUAGGAUGGACUCGCGUCCAAUUAGCUAGUUGGUGAGGUAACGGCCCACCAAGGCGACGAUUGGUAGCCGGACUGAGAGGUUGAACGGCCACAUUGGGACUGAGACACGGCCCAGACUCCUACGGGAGGCAGCAGUGGGGGAUAUUGCACAAUGGGGGAAACCCUGAUGCAGCGACGCCGCGUGGAGGAAGAAGGUCUUCGGAUUGUAAACUCCUGUUGUUGAGGAAGAUAAUGACGGUACCCAACAAGGAAGUGACGGCUAACUACGUGCCAGCAGCCGCGGUAAAACGUAGGUCACAAGCGUUGUCCGGAAUUACUGGGUGUAAAGGGAGCGCAGGCGGGAAGACAAGUUGGAAGUGAAAACCAUGGGCUCAACCCAUGAAUUGCUUUCAAAACUGUUUUUCUUGAGUAGUGCAGAGGUAGAUGGAAUUCCCGGUGUAGCGGUGGAAUGCGUAGAUAUCGGGAGGAACACCAGUGGCGAAGGCGGCCUACUGGGCACCAACUGACGCUGAGGCUCGAAAGUGUGGGUAGCAAACAGGAUUAGAUACCCUGGUAGUCCACACCGUAAACGAUGAUUACUAGGUGUUGGAGGAUUGACCCCUUCAGUGCCGCAGUUAACACAAUAAGUAAUCCACCUGGGGAGUACGACCGCAAGGUUGAAACUCAAAGGAAUUGACGGGGGCC
rnacentral:rRNA from 1 species